rnacentral:rRNA from 1 species
AAUGAACGCUGGCGGCAUGCCUAACACAUGCAAGUCGAACGAGACCUUCGGGUCUAGUGGCGCACGGGUGCGUAACGCGUGGGAAUCUACCCUUGGGUUCGGAAUAACUCGCCGAAAGGCGUGCUAAUACCGGAUAAUGACGUAAGUCCAAAGAUUUAUCGCCCAAGGAUGAGCCCGCGUAGGAUUAGCUAGUUGGUGAGGUAAAAGCUCACCAAGGCGACGAUCCUUAGCUGGUCNGAGAGGAUGAUCAGCCACACUGGGACUGAGACACGGCCCAGACUCCUACGGGAGGCAGCAGUGGGGAAUAUUGGACAAUGGGCGAAAGCCUGAUCCAGCAAUGCCGCGUGAGUGAUGAAGGCCUUAGGGUUGUAAAGCUCUUUUACCCGGGAUGAUAAUGACAGUACCGGGAGAAUAAGCUCCGGCUAACUCCGUGCCAGCCGCCGCCGUAA